AGAUAGGAUCGGGUGGUUUGAAAACCAUGGUUUGGAUACCAGCGGAGUCUGCAAUGGAAGAGUUGAUGCCUUGGCUAUUGCCGGUAGAGCUCUGCAACUUGAUGGAAGGUUUUGAUCCCUCAGUACCCCUGAGGACCCCUCAGGAAUGCCUGAGGUGGGUCCAGAUCCAAGCAGCUCAAUGUCCAGAUGUUGUGGUAGCACAAAUUGACCCAAAGAAGUUGAAAAGGAAGCAAAGUGUUAAUAUUUUUCUUUCAGGAUGCCAACCAGCCACUGAAGGUUAUUCCCCAACACUUCGGUGGCAACAGCAACAAGUGGCACUGUUUUCAACUGUUCGACAGAAUGUGAACAAACAUAGAAGUCACUGGAAAUCACAACAGUUGGAUAGUAAUGUGACUAUGCCAGAAUCUGAAGAUGAAGAAGGCUGGAAGAAAUUUUCUCUGGGUGAAAAGUUAUGUGCUGACGGGGCUGUUGGAUCAGCCACAGUUGAAAGUCCCGGAGUAGAUUCUGCACAAGGAAGAUGCUUUAUGCUUUAUUGACUUGUCUGGAAAAGCCUUUAUUACCUCAGGCUCAUUCAUUGAUUCGGCAGCUUGCAAGGUGUUCUGAAGUGAGGCUCUUAGGGGAGAGCAAAGAUGAUGAGAAGGUUCCUGCUUUGAAUUUAUUACUUUGCUUGCUUAGCAGGUAUUUUGACCAAUGUGAUUUAGUUGAUGAGCCAUCU
rnacentral:lncRNA from 1 species